rnacentral:lncRNA from 1 species
AACAUUAUAAUAGUCCAAAAAAACAUAUAACAAAACACUAAUCUAAUAACAUUAUAGUUGGUUGCACUAAUGUACAUAAUAUUUCUCUUCAUGCUACCGACUAUCCCUAGCACAAAUUAUAAAAGGUUAGGUGAUUGGUAUCUCGGGUCUUAAGUUCACAUCCAAAUUAAUUUAUAUUUUUAACUAAGUUUAUUUCUAAAAAAAAUUAAACGAAGUGUGUUGUAAAAAAGAAUAGCUGAUGGGAUGAGAAGAGAAGAGAGAGAGGAUAUAAUUAUUUUUGACAGUAACUGUAUAUUUUGCUAUUUGAUUCGUCCUAAAUUAACAUAUAAAAUGAUUUUUAAUCUUUAAAAACACCAU